AUCCGCCGCGUCCGGCGCCGAGGAGGACAAACCGGCGUGCACGCGGCCCCGGUAACCGCCUCCGUAAACCCGGUAACCCGACGAGGACCGGAGCGGGGGAGCGGACACCCGAGAGGAGUCCCCGAAGAACUUCCGCUGUGACCCGUCGAGGCAUGGACUCCACAGGACCUCUGAAGGUGUGCUGUGGUAUCUGGCACCGAGACGGUAGCAUCUGGAUCGGCCCUUUAAGUGCUGUAAGUUGUGAGGUCGGACCUCCGUGGAUCGGACUUGUUUGUCCAGAACAUCCUACAGAAGCUCGAUGGGAUUGAGAUCUGGGGAAUUCGGAGGCCGAGUCAACACCUUGAACUCUUCGUCACGUUCCUGUACAGUUUUUGCAGUGUGUCAGGGGGCAUCAUCCUGCUGAAAGACACCACUGGGCACCGUUAGGGAACACCGUAACUAUGAAGGCGUGUACUCGGUCUGCAGUAAUGUUCAGGUAGGUGUGACGUGUCAAAAGUAACACCACAUGAAUGCCAGGACCCGAGGUUUCCCAGCAGAACAUCGCCCAGACCAUCACACUUCCUCCUCCGGCCCGUCUUCUUCCCAUAGUGCAUCCUGGUGCCGUCUCUCCCCCAGUGUUUUGCCUACGUUACACAUCCAACCCCCCUCUCUCCCUCUCCCCCCAUCUGCUUGUCUGUGGCCCCGUGCUGGAGUCUCCAUCUUGUUUCCUGUCAGGCGGAGAGGGAUGGAGGCAGGGAGCCCCGAGUUCACCAUCUGAUGGACAGCUUGAGUUUGGCCAUAUGUCUAUGUCACACUUUAUACCUGCUGCUAUUUACAGCUCUUGAUUCAAUCCCUUCUGUAAUUAAUACAUCAGCGUUAAACAAAAAUUAUUUGUGAAAAAUUCCAGACGUUUCUCCUGUUCUUCACACACACACACACACACAUACACACAAACACACACACAUGUACACACACACCCCAGUUGUUAUUUCACUGUGCUAAUGUUUAAAAUCAGCCGGGAAAUUAGUCCUCGGUUCCCUUUUCCCAGUAACGUCUCAGCUCCUGUUCACACACGAGUCUUCCAGAUUUGAUCAGGAAUUUCAGUGCGUCUCUUUUUCAUCCAAUGCAGUCUUUUUGGGAUUUCGGCUUUCACACUUCGACUCGUCACUGUUAAAUUCCGACCGUGAAAAGUGUGUGUCUGGAAGUGCCUCACGUUACUGUAACGAACCCCGCGGGGGUUCCAGGGAAGAGAGUGAAUCAUUCCUCUGAUUAUGCUUUACAUUUAUAUGAAACUAAUAUUUCAGGUUUAGUAACCUGUCAACAAAAAGGUGCAUGUGAGUAAUGGUGAAGAAGCACCAACCAAUAUUACUCCAAUAUUACACCAGCCAGUAGGUGUGCGUGCGUGCGUGUGUGUGUGUGUUUGCACAGUAGGUAGGGGUGUGUGUGUGUUUUUCUUUCGAACUAAUUGUCUUCUGCUUAGUUCAUAAUCCACACGAGUAUCUGUAUGUGUGUGUUUCCAGCCUGACCUGAUUUGUGUUCAUUGCAUGUUACAGGUCUUACCUGAUUAGUGUAUGCUAGUUAGUGUGUGUGUGUGUGUGUGUGUGUGUGUGUGUGUGUGUGUGUGUGUGUGUGUGUGUGUGUGUGUUUGAUGAAGGCCAGAGAGGUGAAGGUCUUGGUCGCAGGAUAAGCUGCUGGAUUUGAUUAAUCUGACAGACAAGGAACAGAGAGGUCAAACAGACUCUGACCUACACACACACACACACACACACACACACACACACAGUAUGUUCACAGCCACACACCUGCACCUCAUCCCGAAAUUCUGGCUAAGAACCAAACCUAAAA